UACUACCUCUUCAACUAACUAUGCUCUAGCAGUAAUCCUAGAAAGAAACAGGUAACAUAUCCCCUUCAUCAUUUAUAUGCUCAUAAUCCUUACUCAUUUAAAACAUAGCUUUUGGCAAAGUUGUUAUUCUUGAAUCCAUCAUAGCCAAUUUAAUCAACUCACAUUUUGCAGAGGUCCAAUUUUCUACAAGUCAGCGUGGGAACCAUAUUACUGAUUUGUUGCACCUUGCACAUGAG
rnacentral:lncRNA from 1 species